AUUGAACGCUGGCGGCAGGCUUAACACAUGCAAGUCGAGCGGAGCGAGGGUGCUUGCACCUUAGCUUAGCGGCGGACGGGUGAGUAAUGCUUAGGAAUCUGCCUAUUAGUGGGGGACAACAUUCCGAAAGGAAUGUUAAUACCGCAUACGCCCUACGGGGGAAAGCAGGAGAUCUUCGGACGUUGCGCUAAUAGAUGAGCCUAAGUCGGAUUAGCUAGUUGGGGGGGGAAAGGCCUACCAAGGCGACGAUCUGUAGCGGGUCUGAGAGGAUGAUCCGCCACACUGGGACUGAGACACGGCCCAGACUCCUACGGGAGGCAGCAGUGGGGAAUAUUGGACAAUGGGCGGAAGCCUGAUCCAGCCAUGCCGCGUGUGUGAAGAAGGCCUUUUGGUUGUAAAGCACUUUAAGCGAGGAGGAGGCUACUUAGAUUAAUACUCUGGGAUAGUGGACGUUACUCGCAGAAUAAGCACCGGCUAACUCUGUGCCAGCAGCCGCCGUAAAAC
rnacentral:rRNA from 1 species